CUGAUGGAGCACGCCGCGUGAGUGAAGACGGCCUUCGGGUUGUAAAGCUCUGUCUGUCGGGACGAAGACCGGGACGGGAGUCCCGGGGAGCCGGUACCGACGAAGGAAGCCCCUGCAAACUACGUGCCAGCAGCCGCGGUAAGACGUAGGGGGCAAGCGUUGUCCGGAAUUACUGGGCGUAAAGGGCGUGUAGGCGGUGCGAUACGUAGCGGUUUUAAGCCUCCGGCUCACCCGGAGGAGGGCGGCUAAACGGUCGCACUGGAGGGCAGGAGAGGUGCGUGGAAUUCCUGGUGGAGCGGUGAAAUGCGUAGAGAUCAGGAAGAACACCAGUGGCGAAGGCGGCGCACUGGCCUGGCCCUGACGCUGAGGCGCGACAGCGUGGGGAGCAAACGGGAUUAGAUACCCCGGUAGUCCACGCCGUAAACGAUGGAUACUAGGUGUCGUGGGGGUCCACCCUGCGGUGCCGGAGCUAACGCACUAAGUAUCCCGCCUGGGGAGUACGGCCGCAAGGUUGAAACUCAAAGGAAUUGACGGGGGCCCGCACAAGCAGUGGAGCAUGUGGUUUAAUUCGACGCAACGCGCAGAACCUUACCAGGACUGGACAGGAUCGUGAGCGCCGCGAAAGCGGCGGGCCCUUCGGGGAGCGGUCUCAGGUGCUGCAUGGUUGUCGUCAGCUCGUGUCGUGAGAUGUUGGGUUAAGUCCCGCAACGAGCGCAACCCUUGUCGUGUGUUGCCAGCGGUUCGGCCGGGCACUCACACGAGACUGCCGGUGACAAACCGGAGGAAGGUGGGGAUGACGUCAAAUCCGCAUGGCCUUUAUGUCCU
rnacentral:rRNA from 1 species